GCUGGGUGUGGUGGCUCAUACCUGUAGUCCCAGCACUUUGGGAGGCUGAGGUGGGUGGAUCACCUGAGGUCAGGAGUUUGAGACCAACCUGGCCAACAUGGUGAAACCCCAUCUCUA
ensembl:misc_RNA Metazoa_SRP Metazoan signal recognition particle RNA